rnacentral:rRNA from 1 species
UUAUACCGCGAAACUGCGAAUGGCUCAUUAUAUAAGUUAUCGUUUAUUUGAUAGCACAUUUACCUACUUGGAUAACCGUGGUAAUUCUAGAGCUAAUACAUGCUAAAAAUCCCGACUUCGGAAGGGAUGUAUUUAUUAGAUUAAAAGCCAACGCCCUUCGGGCUUCUUGGUGAUUCAUGAUAACUGGUCGAAUCGCAUGGCCUUGCGCGGCGAUGGUUCAUUCAAAUUUCUUCCCCUAUCAACUUUCGAUGCGAAGGUCUUGUCUUCGCAUGGUUGCAACGGGUAACGGAGGGUUAGGGCUCGACCCCGGAGAAGGAGCCUGAGAAACGGCUACUACAUCCAAGGAAGGCARCAGGCGCGCAAAUUACCCAAUCCCGACACGGGAGGUAGUGACAUAAAUACUGAUACAGGGCUCUUUUGGGUCUUGUAAUCGGAAUGAGUACAAUUUAAAUCCCUUAACGAGGAACAAUUGGAGGGCAAGUCUGGUGCCAGCAGCCGCGGUAAUUCCAGCUCCAAUAGCGUAUAUUAAAGUUGUUGUGGUUAAAAAGCUCGUAGUUGAACCUUGGGCCUGGCUGGCCGGUCCCCCUCACCGGGUGCACUGAUCCAGCCGGGCCUUUCCUCUGUGGAACCUCAUGGUCUUCACUGACUGUGUUGGGGAACAGGACUUUACUUUGAAAAAAUUAGAGUGCUCCAGGCAGGCCUAUGCUCGAAUACAUUAGCAUGGAAUAAUAGAAUAGGACGUGUGGUUUCUAUUUUGUUGGUUUCUAGGACCGCCGUAAUGAUUAAUAGGACAGUCGGGGCAUCAGUAUUCAAUUGUCAGAGGUGAAAUUCUUGGAUCUAUUGAAGACUAACUACUGCGAAAGCAUUUGCCAAGGAUGUUUUCAUUGAUAGGAACGAAAGUUAGGGGAUCGAAGACGAUCAGAUACCGUCGUAGUCUUAACUAUAAACUAUGCCGACUAGGGAUCGGACGAUGUUAUCUUUUGACGCGUUCGGCACCUUUCGAGAAAUCAAAGUGCUUGGCUCCAGGGGGAGU